rnacentral:rRNA from 1 species
GUACGGGGGGGCAAGCGUUGUUCGGAAUUACUGGGCGUAAAGGGCUCGUAGGCGGCCAACUAAGUCAGACCGUGAAAUCCCCAGGCUCAACCUGGGAACUGCGUCUGAUACUGGAUGGCUUGAAUUCGGGAGAGGGAUGCAGAAUUCCAGGUGUAGCGGUGAAAUGCGUAGAGAUCCGGAGGAACACCAAUGGCGAAGGCAGCUCACUGGGACGGUAUUGACGCUGAGACGCGAAAGCGUGGGAGCAAACAGG